rnacentral:rRNA from 1 species
UACGAAGGGUGCAAGCGUUACUCGGAAUUACUGGGCGUAAAGCGUGCGUAGGUGGUGAGUUAAGUCUGAUGUGAAAUCCCCGGGCUCAACCUGGGAAUGGCAUUGGAUACUGGCUCGCUAGAGUGCGGUAGAGGGUGGUGGAAUUCCCGGUGUAGCAGUGAAAUGCGUAGAGAUCGGGAGGAACACCUGUGGCGAAAGCGGCGCACUGGACCACAACUGACGCUGAGGCGCGAAAGCUAGGGGAGCAAACAGG